rnacentral:rRNA from 1 species
UACAGAGGGGGCGAGCGUUGUUCGGAAUUACUGGGCGUAAAGGGCGCGUAGGCGGCCUUCUAAGUCGAACGUGAAAUCCCCGGGCUCAACCCGGGAACUGCGUCCGAUACUGGGAGGCUUGAAUCCGGGAGAGGGAUGUGGAAUUCCAGGUGUAGCGGUGAAAUGCGUAGAUAUCUGGAGGAACACCGGUGGCGAAGGCGGCAUCCUGGACCGGUAUUGACGCUGAGGAGCGAAAGCCAGGGGAGCAAACGGG